CGAAAGAUGAUGUAUAGGGGCUGACACCUGCCCAGUGCCAGUAAUUUACUGUCUCAAGUGACUUCCGACGUAAGUCGGAAUGAGCCUGGGGCCUAAGAUCUGGUGAACGGCAGCAGUAACUAUAACUGUUCUAUGGUAGCGAAGUUCCUCGU
rnacentral:rRNA from 1 species